AGAGUUUGAUCCUGGCUCAGGACGAACGUUGGCGGCGUGCUUAACACAUGCAAGUCGAGCGGGGCUUAGUGAAAAGUUUACUUUUUACUGAGUCUAGCGGCGGACGGGUGAGUAACGCGUGGAUAAUCUGCCUGUAAGACAGGGAUAACGCCGGGAAACCGGUGCUAAUACCCGAUAACCUCUUUGGAUCGCAUGGUCUGAUCUUUACAAUGCUACCACUUACAGAUGAAUCCGCGUCCCAUUAGCCAGUUGGUGGGGUAAUGGCCUACCAAGGCGACGAUGGUUAGCGGGUCUGAGAGGAUGAUCCGCCACACUGGAACUGGAACACGGACCAGACUCCUACGGGAGGCAGCAGUGAGGAAUAUUGCGCAAUGGGGGAAACCCUGACGCAGCAACGCCGCGUGAAGGAUGAAGGUUUUCGGAUCGUAAACUUCUUUGAUGGGGGACGAAACAAAUGACGGUACCCCAAAAACAAGCCACGGCUAACUACGUGCCAGCAGCCGCGGUAAUACGUAGGUGGCGAGCGUUGUCCGGAAUUACUGGGUGUAAAGGGCGUGUAGGCGGGAAUGCAAGUCAGAUGUGAAAUGCCGACUCAACCGGGGAGACUGCUCUACGAAACUGGUAGACUUGAGUGCAAGAGAGGGAAGUGGAAUUCCUAGUGUAGCGGUGAAAUGCGUAGAUAUUAGGAGGAACACCAGUGGCGAAGGCGACUUCCUGGCUUGUAACUGACACUGAGGCGCGAAAGCGUGGGGAUCAAACAGGAUUAGAUACCCUGGUAGUCCACGCCGUAAACGAUGAGUGCUAGGUGUCGGGGGUAUCGACCCCCUCGGUGCCACAGCUAACGCAAUAAGCACUCCGCCUGGGGAGUACGGUCGCAAGACUGAAACUCAAAGGAAUUGACGGGGGCCCGCACAAGCGGUGGAGUAUGUGGUUUAAUUCGACGCAACGCGAAGAACCUUACCUGGUCUUGACAUCCCGGGAAUCUCCAGGAAACUGGAGAGUGCCUCUUACGAGGAGCCCGGUGACAGGUGCUGCAUGGCUGUCGUCAGCUCGUGUCGUGAGAUGUUGGGUUAAGUCCCGCAACGAGCGCAACCCUUGUCUUUAGUUGCCAGCACUUCGGCUGGGCACUCUAGUGAGACUGCCGGGGAUAACUCGGAGGAAGGUGGGGAUGACGUCAAAUCAUCAUGCCCCUUAUGUUCUGGGCUACACACGUGCUACAAUGGGUGUAACAACGGGAAGCAAGCUGGCAACAGCAAGCCAAUCCCUGAAAAGCACCCUCAGUUCGGAUUGUAGGCUGAAACCCGCCUACAUGAAGUUGGAGUUGCUAGUAAUCGCGGAUCAGCAAUGGCGUGGUGAAUGCGUUCCCGGGUCUUGUACACACCGCCCGUCACACCAUGGAAGUUGGGGGGACCCGAAGCCAGUGAUCCAACCGUAAGGAGGAAGCUGUCGAAGGUAAAACCAAUGACUGGGGUGAAGUCGUAACAAGGUAACC
rnacentral:rRNA from 1 species